GUUUUCACUUUGGCAGCACAUACACUAAAAUUGGAAAGAUGCAGAGAAGAUUAACAAGGCCCCUGUGAAAGGAUGACACAGAAAUUCAGGAAGUGCUCCAUAUUUUU